CAAAAAGAGUUUUCACGAACUCGUCAACCCUUUGUGAACAUAUCUGAACAGUUGCUUCGGCGGGCAGCCCCAGGGCGGGGCCGCCGCCUCCCUCUCGGGGGAGGUGCCCGCCGGAAGCCUACCAAACUCUUGCUUUUACUAGCCGUCUGAGUUACCACAAAAAUGAAUCA
rnacentral:misc_RNA from 1 species